rnacentral:rRNA from 1 species
UACGUAGGGUGCAAGCGUUUAAUCGGAAUUACUGGGCGUAAAGCGUGCGCAGGCGGCUUUGCAAGACAGAUGUGAAAUCCCCCGGGCUUAACCUGGGAACUGCAUUUGUGACUGCAUGGCUAGAGUGCGGCAGAGGGGGAUGGAAUUCCGCGUGUAGCAGUGAAAUGCGUAGAUAUGCGGAGGAACACCGAUGGCGAAGGCAAUCCCCCUGG